UACGUAGGGCGCAAGCGUUGUCCGGAAUUAUUGGGCGUAAAGAGCUCGUAGGCGGUCUGUCGCGUCUGUUGUGAAAACUCGAGGCUCAACCUCGGGCUUGCAGUGGAUACGGGCAGACUAGAGUGCGGUAGGGGAGACUGGAAUUCCUGGUGUAGGCGGUGGAAUGCGCAGGAUAUCAAGGAGGAACACCGAUGGCGAAGGCAGGUCUCUGGGCCGCAACUGACGCUGAGGAGCGAAAGCAUGGGGAGCGAACAGG
rnacentral:rRNA from 1 species